UGCAAUUCAUAGAGUUGUAUAGUAAUAUCCCAUACGAGAAAGAAUGGGAGUAAAUAUAGAUGAAAUAUUGUUCAUAUUAGAUAUAGUUUAUGAAGUUAAAGAAAUUAUGGAAUGAAAGAAGAAGCAGGGAGGGUGGCUAUUACCUUGACCGCCCCGGAGUUGCUACAAAACAACCAGAAAAGAGAAUCGUUGCAACUUCACCACAAAGAGAAUACUUUGGGAGCCUAUAACAGAAGGAAGAAAAUAAUGGAGGACCAUGAGAUGGAAGAAAAAGAAAAGUAAAGUCCAAUGGAUAUGGAACAAUAUGGCCAUAAGGUUUUGAAAAAUGAAUAGAGUGGAAGAAUGGUUGAGAAAAAGAAAGGGUAGAGCCAAAAUAAAGAGGUGGAAGCAGCUAGGGAAAUUGUUCCCAUUAAAGGUACUAUAAAGAGGGGGAGGAAAUUAUCAAACAAACCCCAUUCAAUGUACUUCAAAGCACUUUAAGAGUUCACGUGCCUAUUGAAAAAGAUGCCACAACAUUUGGAUUAGACAUUUUAGAUUACUUUCAAAGGUGAUGGAGAAG
rnacentral:lncRNA from 1 species